rnacentral:rRNA from 1 species
CUACGUCGCGGUCGACGCCGCGCUUCGAACCGUUCCGCCCGUGGUUUCGACCGGGGCGGCGGUUCUAGACACGUCGGUCUUCUCGCGCCAGAUCCUAGCGAGAUACGACCCUCCGUCCGCAUGGACGGACGAAGCUAACUACGGCGGGUUUCGGAUCGGCGCUUCGGCGUCGUUUCGGCUCGCGCGUCCGGCUCGGCUCUAGAGCUCGGUUCGCGCGAAGUCCGAACGGCGUCGGUCGGUUCGUACCGUCGUUAACCUUUUAACGCCGACCUCAGAUCGGACGAGAUUACCCGCUGAAUUUAAGCAUAUAACUAAGCGGAG